UGGCUGCAGUCAAGAGCUUUCCACAAUGGGCGCAAGCCUGAUGGAGCGACGCCGCGUGCAGGAUGAAGGUCUUAGGACUGUAAACUGCUUUUCUCCGUGAAAAAUUUCGAUGAUAUUAACGGAGGAAUAAGGGGUUGCUAAACUCGUGCCAGCAGCAGCGGUAAAACGAGUACCCCAAGCGUUAUCCGAAUUUACUGGGCGUAAAGGGUGUGUAGGGGGAUAUGUUAGUCCUGCUUUAAAUAUCUAUGCUUAACAUAGAUACCGGUGGGAUACGGCAUAUCUAGAGAGUGCAAGAGGUCUGUGGAACUCACGGUGUAGGGGUGAAAUCCGUUGAUAUCGUGGGGAACACCAAAGGCGAAGGCAACAGACUGGUGCAUUUCUGACCCUGAAACACGAAAGCGUGGGGAUAGAAAAGGAUUAGAUACCCGUGUANUC
rnacentral:rRNA from 1 species